GGGAUGUAGCUCAGAGGGAGAGCGCCUGCCUUGCAAGCAGGAGGUCGGCGGUUCGAAUCCGCUCAUCUCC
rnacentral:tRNA from 1 species